rnacentral:tRNA from 1 species
UUGUAGCUCAGCCGGAUAGAGCAUCUGCCUUCUAAGCAGAGGGUCGGGGGUUCGAGUCCCUUCA